rnacentral:rRNA from 1 species
AUUGAACGCUGGCGGCAGGCCUAACACAUGCAAGUCGAGCGAGCGGCGGACGGGUGAGUAAUGUAUGGGGACUGCCCGAUAGAGGGGGAUAACUACUGGAAACGGUGGCUAAUACCGCAUACUGUCGGAUAACCCAUAUGGGAUUAGCUAGUAGGUAAGGUAAUGGCUUACCUAGGCGACGAUCCCUAGCUGGUCUGAGAGGAUGAUCAGCAACACGGAGCUGUAGAACCGGCCCAGAUGCUCGGGGAGGCAGCAGGGGGGAAUCGUGCACAUGGGGCGAAAGCCUGAUGAAGCCCUGCUGCGGGGAGGAAGAAGGCCCUAGGGUUGUAAAGUACUUUCAGUCGGGAGGCGUUACCGACAGAAGAAGCCCCGGCUAACUCCGUGCCAGCAUCCGCGGUAAUUC